AUUGAACGCUGGCGGCAUGCUUUACACAUGCAAGUCGAACGGUAACAGGUCUUCGGAUGCUGACGAGUGGCGAACGGGUGAGUAAUACAUCGGAACGUGCCUAGUAGUGGGGGAUAACUACUCGAAAGAGUAGCUAAUACCGCAUGAGAUCUACGGAUGAAAGCAGGGGACCUUCGGGCCUUGUGCUACUAGAGCGGCUGAUGGCAGAUUAGGUAGUUGGUGGGGUAAAGGCUUACCAAGCCUGCGAUCUGUAGCUGGUCUGAGAGGACGACCAGCCACACUGGGACUGAGACACGGCCCAGACUCCUACGGGAGGCAGCAGUGGGGAAUUUUGGACAAUGGGCGAAAGCCUGAUCCAGCAAUGCCGCGUGCAGGAUGAAGGCCCUCGGGUUGUAAACUGCUUUUGUACGGAACGAAAAGCCUGGGGCUAAUAUCCCCGGGUCAUGAC
rnacentral:rRNA from 1 species